UUCAUUUAUUUUUUUCAGAUGUAGCAUGUCAAAGACAGCGGCUGAAAAAAAUGCAGUACCAACUGAAAACCUGCCAAGGACGUCAUGUUAUGAUGAGAACAAGGAUGCUCAUAUGAAAGAGCUUUCACUGGCAAGACUUCGCCGACGUGUGUAUCGGUCAGCCAGAAAUGAAUCAAGCAAAGAAACUGUUGCCUCCCCAUUAGAAGCAAAGGUGUUGCCCCAUGCACCUGUCAGCACGACCACCAUGGUAAAUUGGCUGCCUGCAACUUGUGCACACAUUGCUUCACCACUAAUUCCUUGGGAUUAAACUCUGACAUUGCAGGACGAUCUCCCAUCCCCUGACCGCAACAGCAUGGACCAAAUAAGUGACAAAGGAAAUAUGGAAUGUGCUUGCCAACCUGGCCUCCGGACAUUAAUGGCAGAGUACUCAAGAGAAGAAAAAGACGUGGCAAAUUUCCUACUAGAAAUGGCUUCACGGACAAGGCUUACAGAAAGCAAGGCUGCCCAAGUGACAUCGGGUACUUUUCCACAGAAGUUUGUGAACACGAUAAAUAGUAGCAACGUAAAUACAUGCACAGGCCUGCUAUCAUUCGAUGUUCUGAAUGCUCGUGUGACGUGCUACACAAAAAUUCAUCCACUUUCAGGGCGGCACCAGUUAUGUGUAAAAACAAUUGCAUUGACAUUGGUGAAAUUGAAGCAUAUUUCCACUGCAUUCUUGAGUCACCUUUUUAACUGUUCUCUAACUACAUGUAGCAACAUAAUUGCAGAGACUGCUCAGUUGAUGUGUGAAAUUUUAAAAGUAACUGUGGCUGUGCCACCAAAAGAUGAAUUCCAGUGGCACGUUUGCAUAUUCGGCAUUAGGUGAUUCACCUGAAGUCGUGCCAUGGCUGGCGAUAUUGCAAGUAGCCUGUACUGCACAGAGGCAUUUGUGCGU